CGGGCGUACGCAUUCGAAACUCACCUCCUCACCGCUUCUCCCCUACGAUUCUCAAACCCCUCUCUCCCGGCAACUGCUGUGUUCUUCCCAUCCUCUCUAAUCCUUCCGUACCUAAAUCGGUUUCUCCCUCCGCCUCCUCCCUUUAAUUACCUCCUUUUCUUUGUCCAAUCACCGCCCUUUUUACACUCACAAAUUCCUCCCCUUCACUUCCCUCCAAACACUCUCUCAAAAACCCCUCUCCCCCUCUCUUCAUGGCGAACGCCAGCGAAGAUCCGACCCGGACAAUCAAUCCAUCGCAAUUUCACUUUCAUUUACUUCACUCUCAUUCUCACUUUCAAAAUCAGAAUUUAUUUUCUUCUUCAAAUAAUUCAACUCCGUCAAAUCGACUGUUCCCUUCCUCUUUCCGAAAACCUCACCACCCGCCUCCUCCUCCUCCUUCUCCUCCUCCUGAUAACAACAAAACUCCUAUCGGCUUUCAAUUCCAUAGUUCCAACACGCAUUCUGCAUUUCGUGACGUUGCGCUGGGAAUGAAAAGUGAAAGUGAUGAUCAUGAGGUUUGGACUAAUAGAGAUACCGCUUUCCCUGCGCAAAGUGAUAUAGUUACUGAUCAAACUCUUACUCGUUGGUCAUCUUCUGGGGGUAAGCAUAAAAAUAAGUCAAGGGUUCCGAAACAUGCCAAAUCAGUGACUCAAAGAAUUAAUGCUGAGUCUCCUAAUGGACUGAAUUUGGCUAGUGGUUGUCGAUAUGACAAUUCUUUAGGCUUGUUAACCAAGAAAUUUGUCAAGUUGAUCCAGGAGGCUCAGGACGGGACCCUUGAUCUGAACAAAACAGCUGAAGUGUUGGAGGUCCAGAAAAGGAGGAUAUAUGAUAUUACAAAUGUUUUGGAAGGAAUAGGAUUAAUAGAGAAAACUUCAAAAAAUCAUAUACGCUGGAAGAAGGAAUUUGAUGACUGUGAGCAAAGGAUGUUGGAUAAUCAUGCUAGAAUAAAGGCUGAAGUGGAAAGUUUAUAUACUGAAGAGUUCAGGCUUGAGGAAUCUAUAAGGGAUAGACAAGAACUUCUGAGACGCUUGAAGGAAGAUGUGGUUUGUCGAAAGCAUCUCUUUCUAACAGAGGAAGAUAUUACCAGCCUUUCAUGCUUCCAGAAUCAAACACUUUUUACAAUAAAAACUCCUGAAGCUAGUUAUCUGGAAGUGCCUGAUCCUGAUGAGGAUAUUGGUUCUCCGCUAUACAAAAUGACAGUUAGAAGCACCAAUGGACCCAUUGAUGUGUAUCUCUUGAGCAAAUGCGAACAAGGUGAGGACAUAACCAUGGAGCAUGUUGAACCAAUGGAUACAAGUACUUGGAACAGUAGCCAAUGCAGAGACCAAGAUGCAGGCUUGCCUUCAGAGUGUCAGGGUAAUCAAAACAGUUGUUGUGAACCAUUCAGCUCACUAACUCUAGAAGCAUCUGGGAUUUGUAAGUUAAUUCCUGCAGACUGCAAUAUUGUUGAUGAUUACUGGUUCACAACAGAUGAUUCAGUCAGCAUUUCAAAAUUGUGGGUUGAUCGCAUCUCUUAACAUUCUGUUUUGAUUCACCAAGUUCUGAUUUUUGAAAUAUAUGGAACUGCCUUGCUAUUGGAGAAGUCUGGAGGCUAACUCUCCACUUGACCUUUAUAUGUUUAUCACAUGCUAUGCAACUGACGUAGAGAGUUUUUUCCUCUUGGAUGACCUCUCAUCGCUUCUGCCAUGACCGUCAUCAAGAGUAACUGUUGUUCCUGAUGUAAAUGAAAAUUAGGCAGUAGGUCGUUCAAGCAGACUGGAAGGGGUUGUUGGGGCUGUAGUUUCUGCAAAUGUGCCUACUGCCGGGCAGAGCGAAAGACCGUCUCUCGGCCUUGGUGUCAAUAGUGGGCUUGGAGAGUCAAGAGCCAGUGUGCUUAUGACCAUCUGGCUGCCUGUGUUGAUCAGCAACACACACAAUCCUUCAUAAAAAAAAAGGUGGGGGGCAUUUUGUACACUGUUUGGGUGCUGAUGGAUCAUAGUUGAGGGUGUGCUCCCUGAGCUUUUGCAGCAGUCAGUGGCAUGAUCUUCUAAUCAUCAAUUCUUUUUUUCUUCUUUUUUUUUCAAGUUGACCUUCCAAUGUUCAAAAUAAUCCAAAAUAAAAUAUGAACUGUAUCAAGACCUGAAUUGUAGAGUCACCAGAUUGACCUAUGGAGGGGAGCUGUGAUCAAUAACUAUGAUCAAGAUUGAAGUUGACAUUGCAUUAGUGCAGCAAGCAGAAGCUGUCCUCGUCUCUGAAAGUGAUGGUAUA